rnacentral:lncRNA from 1 species
GAAACAGAGUUGAGGAAAGAAUGCAGUAUGAGAAAAUGGACAGAAUACAUAUAUUCUUUUGAGUCUGCUAAGAGGAGCAAAGAAAAAGCGGCACACACACUCAGGUGUUUCUAGAACUGAAGAUACAGUGCAGUUAGUAUGCUGAUAGGACUAAACUCACAGCAGUCCUCCUGCCUCAGCCUCCCAAGUGCCGGGAUUCCAGGUGUGCAGCACCAUGCCUGACUCACUUUGAAGUACUAACAGAGCUUCUCCUCCCCUCACCUCUGCCGGCUGCAUCUAACAUACAGAUCCCACUGCUGCGGGAAAGACUACUGCCAGAAGGGCAGGCUGAACUCAAAGCAUACCCUCCAGAUUCCACAGGUGAAUUCCACGAUCCCUUAAAACCCAGCUUUUUCCUGAGAAACCUGGACGUACCUGAUCUUAAGGCUCACAUGUGACCAAGGCUACAAAGCCUGACUACCGGGCCUCAUGUCUGAUCCCCAGGUUCCACUGUGAACAUUACAACAGUUCUGGAAGCUCUGAAAAGCCUGAAACCCAAUCAGCCCAGUGUCCCUGAAGAUCAGGUUAUCAACGCUACAAGCAGAGGCACGUAAGGCUGUAUUUCCAACUGCUUUAGAUCUUUCACUUUGGUCUUCCUAGUGUGCUUCAGAGCAAGAAGCACUCCAAUUCUCUAUCACCUCUGACUUUCAUCAACGGGAAUUUCAGUUGCUGGAAGCUGUAGCUUAUCAUUUUAAGUCCAGCAGUAAAGAAAGAUCUGCUAGGACUAGGUCAUAACGGAGUGGUGGAGGGCUUACACAGCAUGAGUGAGGCCCUAGGUCCAAUCCCUAGCACAAGAAAAGACACAAAAAAC